UUACGGGAGGCAGCAGUGAGGAAUAUUGGUCAAUGGGCGCAAGCCUGAACCAGCCAUCCCGCGUGCAGGAUGACGGCCCUAUGGGUUGUAAACUGCUUUUAUACACCAAGAAAAAUCUCCACGUGUGGGGACCCGACGGUAGUGUAUGAAUAAGCAUCGGCUAACUCCGUGCCAGCAGCCGCGGUAAUACGGAGGAUGCGAGCGUUAUCCGGAUUCAUUGGGUUUAAAGGGUGCGUAGGCGGCUUUUUAAGUCAGUGGUGAAAUCCUGUCGCUUAACGAUAGAAUUGCCAUUGAUACUGAUAAGCUUGAGUACAGUUGAGGUAAGCGGAAUGUGUAGUGUAGCGGUGAAAUGCUUAGAUAUUACACAGAACACCGAUUGCGAAGGCAGCUUACUAAACUGUUACUGACGCUGAUGCACGAAAGCGUGGGGAGCGAACAGGAUUAGAAACCCUGGUAGUCCA
rnacentral:rRNA from 1 species